CAAAAUCAGAGAAGGUAUGUCAUGAAAUAGUCACUAAUUUCUCCAUGAACAUCUAGAAAGUGCUUUUCCAUACAUCUCUG